rnacentral:rRNA from 1 species
UACGUAGGAGGCGAGCGUUGUCCGGAAUUAUUGGGCGUAAAGAGCUCGUAGGCGGUUUGUCGCGUCUGCUGUGAAAUCCCGAGGCUCAACCUCGGGCCUGCAGUGGGUACGGGCAGACUAGAGUGCGGUAGGGGAGAUUGGAACUCCUGGUGUAGCGGUGGAAUGCGCAGAUAUCAGGAAGAACACCGAUGGCGAAGGCAGAUCUCUGGGCCGUAACUGACGCUGAGGAGCGAAAGCAUGGGGAGCGAACAGG